CGUUGGUGCGCGUCUGUUGCAUUCGUCAUUAGUGUGGCGUCAGUCAUCAGAUCCUUAGCUUAACACUAGGGCUCGAAUCGUUCGGUGCGGUGCUCACUGCGUUUUCAACGAAGGGGAUGAAGACGACUUUGACAAAAUCGAGCCAAGUGGAUACGGACAGAGGGAGCAUUUGCAUUCCCUUGAUGAAUGAUUCUUCACUUUUCAACUACAGUAUUCAUCCAUUUUAAUUCCACAGAGUUGAUCGAAUUACUCGCCCACAAAUUCAAUUACAAUUGGAGUUAGAGAUAUGUUGCUGCCCAAUUGUAUAAAUGAUUCUUUUUUUAAAUAGAAAAUAUUUGUCUUUGCACUGAAAGGAGUUGUCUCCACUGUCGCAUCAUCUUUCGGAGAAAAAGAAUCACUUAUGCCUGUAUAAUCUCAAGUCAUUAGGUGAUCAAGUGGGAUGGUAAACAUGAAUUUUAUUUUAUUAAAUAUUUUGAUAUAAGAAUUCAUGACGUAUCAUUUGAUGAUUUACUCUUCUUGUUGCUGGUUGAGUAUUUAAUGUAAUUCUUUACUGUUAUCUAAACUUAAUAACAAAGGUUGUGAAUUUUUAAAAAAAAUAAAUAAAUGCCUUCAAGGUAGGAGUGUUAUAGAAUUACCCUCACCCAGAAGUGUAGUCGGAUAUGUGCAACCCAAUUGCAUAAAUGAUUUCAUUUUAAACUUAGAUAUAUAAAACAAAUAAUUGGUGAUGAGAACUUUCAUCGACAUGGUUGUAGUUUACUUUACUUUUGUUUUUAAAAGUGGGAAGUUCCUCCUCAAUUUUGUACCAUUUGGUAAUUAAAUAUAUACCUGCAAUAAGAAACAGCAUCAAAUAUAAAUUGAAAAUUGUUACUGUCAAUUUUUUAAUACAAAAAAUUUUAAACAUGAAAUAGAAUAUUAUGGUCUUUUAAAAUAUAUAUAUACAUGGUAACGGAUAAAGUUGAUUAACAACCUGAAGUUUAUAUAACCUACACAAGCCUGAAGUUGCAGUUGCAGUUGUUGAUGGUCCUACAAUUAGAAUAUUUUGAGAUUAAUUUUCUGAAAACAAUUACAGUCAAAGGUGUUACAUAAUUUAUUAAAAAGAAGGGAAAAAAGUUUGUCUUCUUAACAGGGAACAAAUGGCAAGAAAACCACAAGCAGAGAACAGCCGGUUUGUUAAAGAAACACAAGAGAGGAAGGAUUACAUUCAUGGGCAGCACGAGUCUUCCUUCCUACAGGACAGUAAAAGACAGAUUAUGCAGAAUCUACUAAU